rnacentral:rRNA from 1 species
GGUCAGGAUGAACGCUAGCGACAGGCCUAACACAUGCAAGGUCGAGGGGGCAGCGGGAGUGAAGCUUGCUUCACUUGCCGGCGACCGGCGCACGGGUGAGUAACGCGUAUGCAACCUGCCUGUAACAGGGGGAUAACCCGGAGAAAUCCGGACUAAGACCGCAUAACGCUGAGAAGCCGCAUGACUUUUCAGCCAAAUAUUCAUAGGUUACAGAUGGGCAUGCGUCCGAUUAGCCAGUUGGCGGGGUAACGGCCCACCAAAGCGACGAUCGGUAGGGGUUCUGAGAGGAAGGUCCCCCACAUUGGAACUGAGACACGGUCCAAACUCCUACGGGAGGCAGCAGUGAGGAAUAUUGGUCAAUGGACGGAAGUCUGAACCAGCCAUGUCGCGUGAAAGGAUGAAGGUACUAUGUAUUGUAAACUUCUUUUGCCUGGGGGUAAAGUGGGUCACGCGUGGCCUAUUGCAAGUACCAGGCGAAUAAGCAUCGGCUAACUCCGUGCCAGCAGCCGC